AUGGCCGACGCGAGUCAAUGUGUAGUAUCUGUUCAUAUCAUCUUAAUAUUUGAUACAGGUUGCAUUUGGACCCAACAUGUUACACUUGUUUUGCAAGUCGACAGACUGCUUGAAGCCUGUUUCGUCUCCCCCGCGGGUCGGCCCGGUAUUGCACUACAUCUUCGGAAUUUUAGUCUACGGACC